GUUUCCUUUUGGUUAAGCAUAUUGUCUAUUUUAUCGUAUGCGUUUCCAUACACUAUGGAACUAACGAUAUUGUGCAAGGCAGAACAAGCGAUGCCCAUGUUAACUGAUGGUCUGUGUGAAGAUGAUCGUGUGAACUGGAGAAGUGUAUGAGGUUUGUCAGUGAGAGGAAUGGCGAGAGGCGGAACAAACCGGUGUGUGUGCCCGGAUACACGCUGAAACGGCUCGCCCGCACUGCAGAUUAACUCUACUGACGCCGGGGAUGCUCAACAGUAAAGCACAAGUCAAUGCAUCCGCGUCCGUUUUUUUUUCUUUUCUUUUCUUUCUUUUUUUUUUUUUUUUUUUUUGGAGAUCUGGUGGUUGUUGUGAAGAGAAAGAGAUCUGUCCAGGUGUUGUUGAUUUUAGCAUGGGAUUCAGGCUCUGCGUGCUCCUCAAUAUAAUCGUGUAAUCUGACAGCCAGUGAUGAUGCCGGAUAGCCUGAUGAUCCGGUGAUGGACAGCUCCUCGACUGAGCAAGAAAGAAUCUGUUUGAAACAAAAUGAGGGUUUUUGAGGAAUGGAAUAGAUAGGAUGACAAAUUCAUCCCAGCUG